UGAGAAGAGGAACGAUUAAUGGGUAACGAUGACUCUAACUUCGAUUUCUCUGGGAAACAACAUCUCUGAGUUCCGGUUGCUCUGAGUUUGAUUACAAAGGAAUGAUUUCUAUCUAAGUUCGAUUCCUUUGGGUUUGAAGCUAGAAGACGAUUGAUUUCGAUUCUAGGGUUUGAGUUCAAUUUUUGCUGGGAAUGGUUUGAAGAAGGUCGAUAUGGAUUGAUUUUAUUUUUAC
rnacentral:lncRNA from 1 species